rnacentral:rRNA from 2 species
GCUUGCUCCCAAGAUAGAAAGAGGAAAACGGGUGAGUAACACGUGGGUAACCUGCCUGUAAGACUGGGAUAACUCCGGGAAACCGGAGCUAAUACCGGAUAGUUCCUUGAACCGCAUGGUUCAAGGAUGAAAGACGGUUUCGGCUGUCACUUACAGAUGGACCCGCGGCGCAUUAGCUAGUUGGUGGGGUAAUGGCUCACCAAGGCGACGAUGCGUAGCCGACCUGAGAGGGUGAUCGGCCACACUGGGACUGAGACACGGCCCAGACUCCUACGGGAGGCAGCAGUAGGGAAUCUUCCGCAAUGGACGAAAGUCUGACGGAGCAACGCCGCGUGAGUGAUGAAGGUUUUCGGAUCGUAAAGCUCUGUUGUUAGGGAAGAACAAGUGCGAGAGUAACUGCUCGCACCUUGACGGUACCUAACCAGAAAGCCACGGCUAACUACGUGCCAGCAGCCGCGGUAAUACGUAGGUGGCAAGCGUUGUCCGGAAUUAUUGGGCGUAAAGGGCUCGCAGGCGGUUUCUUAAGUCUGAUGUGAAAGCCCCCGGCUCAACCGGGGAGGGUCAUUGGAAACUGGGAAACUUGAGUGCAGAAGAGGAGAGUGGAAUUCCACGUGUAGCGGUGAAAUGCGUAGAGAUGUGGAGGAACACCAGUGGCGAAGGCGACUCUCUGGUCUGUAACUGACGCUGAGGAGCGAAAGCGUGGGGAGCGAACAGGAUUAGAUACCCUGGUAGUCCACGCCGUAAACGAUGAGUGCUAAGUGUUAGGGGGUUUCCGCCCCUUAGUGCUGCAGCUAACGCAUUAAGCACUCCGCCUGGGGAGUACGGUCGCAAGACUGAAACUCAAAGGAAUUGACGGGGGGCCCGCACAAGCGGUGGAGCAUGUGGUUUAAUUCGAAGCAACGCGAAGAACCUUACAGGUCUUGACAUCCUCUGACAACCCUAGAGAUAGGCUGUCCUUUCGGGACAGAGUGACAGGUGGUGCAUGGGUGUCGUCAGCUC